GCUGACAGUAGCUGAAGGAUAACUGUUUACUGAACACUUGCUACUGCAAACUGAAGAAAUUUAGAGUUGGGGACAGCUGUAUGUGCUCCUGGCGGUAUAACUAUUUCUCAGUUUACGGCACAAUUAACCACAGCUCUGAGGUCGUGCUAUACUUUCAACUUGUAAUAUGAGCAAAAAACCUGACACGUACAAACACC